rnacentral:rRNA from 1 species
GACGAACGCUGGCGGCGUGCCUAAUACAUGCAAGUAGAACGCACAGUUUAUACCGUAGCUUGCUACACCAUAAACUGUGAGUUGCGAACGGGUGAGUAACGCGUAGGUAACCUGCCUGGUAGCGGGGGAUAACUAUUGGAAACGAUAGCUAAUACCGCAUAAUAUUGAUUAUUGCAUGAUAAUUGAUUGAAAGAUGCUAUUGCAUCACUACCAGAUGGACCUGCGUUGUAUUAGCUAGUAGGUGAGGUAACGGCUCACCUAGGCGACGAUACAUAGCCGACCUGGGAGGGUGAUCGGCCACACUGGGACUGAGACCCGGCCCAGACUCCUACGGGAGGCAGCAGUAGGGAAUCUUCGGCAAUGGACGAAAGUCUGACCGAGCAACGCCGCGGGAGUGAAGAAGGUUUUCGGAUCGGAAAGCUCUGUUGUAAGAGAAGAACGGGUGUGAGAGUGGAAAGUUCACACUGUGACGGUAUCUUACCAGAAAGGGACGGCUAACUACGUG